rnacentral:rRNA from 1 species
AGCGAACGCUGGCGGCAGGCCUAACACAUGCAAGUCGAACGAAGUCUUCGGACUUAGUGGCGGACGGGUGAGUAACACGUGGGAACGUGCCUUUAGGUUCGGAAUAACUCAGGGAAACUUGUGCUAAUACCGAAUGUGCCCUUCGGGGGAAAGAUUUAUCGCCUUUAGAGCGGCCCGCGUCUGACUAGCUAGUUGGUGAGGUAAAGGCUCACCAAGGCUACGAUCAGUAGCUGGUCUGAGAGGAUGACCAGCCACAUUGGGACUGAGACACGGCCCAAACUCCUACGGGAGGCAGCAGUGGGGAAUCUUGCGCAAUGGGCGAAAGCUUGACGCAGCCAUGCCGCGUGGAUGAUGAAGGUCUUAGGAUUGUAAAAUCCUUUCACCGGUGAAGAUAAUGACUGUAGCCGGAGAAGAAGCCCCGGCUAACUUCGUGCCAGCCGCCGCGGUAACAC